UUUCCGUAGGUGAACCUGCGGAAGGAUCAUUAUUGUAUAACCGAGGUGCGAGGGCUGUCGCUGACCCGAAAGGUCGUGCACGCCCGAGUGCCCUCACACACAUCCAUCUCACCCCUAUGUGCACCACCGCGUGAGUCCCCCUUUGGCUUGUUCGGAGAGGGGCUUACGUUUUCACACAAACUUUGUAUGCAGUGUAGAAUGUAUUUUUUGUUUUUGCGAUCACGCAAUCAAUACAACUUUCAACAACGGAUCUCUUGGCUCUC
rnacentral:misc_RNA from 1 species